GGUUUGUGGUACAGUGGUAAAGCACUUGCCUAGCAUGCAUGAAGCACUGGGUUCAAUCCUCAGCACCA
rnacentral:tRNA from 1 species